rnacentral:ncRNA from 2 species
AUAUUGGAUUAACCUCGAGCCCUUAAACCUAAACCUUAAUGACAAGGUUUACUGGCCGCGAUACUGAUGUUCUCAUCGGUAUCGUCAGGGUUUUAAGAGAAACCAAUCAGCCUCCCCUAAGUGUCACAUAAUUUCGUGUAGCUACUUCAUUUUGGAAAGAUGUUAGUGAUAUGUGAGA